AGUCGACGAUGAAGAGAAUCCGAUCUCUUCGGAGUGAAGAAUCUCUGGAUUAGUGGCGGACGGGUGAGUAACGCGUGAGCAAUCUGCCUUACACAAAGGGAUAGCCUCGGGAAACCGGGAUUAAUACCACAUGAUAUCUAUUAACCGCAUGGUUUAUAGAUUAAAGAAUUUCGGUGUAAGAUGAGCUCGCGUCCCAUUAAUUAGUUGGUGAGGGUAACGGCCCACCAAGAUAGCGAUGGGUAGCCGAUCUAAGAGGAUGACCGGCCACAUUGGAACUGAGAAACGGUCCAAACUCCUACGGGAGGCAGCAGUGGGGAAUAUUGCACAAUGGGGGAAACCCUGAUGCAGCGACGCCGCGUGAGCGAUGAAGGCUUUCGAGUCGUAAAGCUCUGUCCUAUGGGAAGAUAAUGACGGUACCAUAGAAGAAAGCCCCGGCUAAUUACGUGCCAGCAGCCGCGGUAAUACGUAAGGGGCGAGCGUUGUCCGGAAUUAUUGGGCGUAAAGAGUGCGUAGGCGGCAAAUUAAGUCAGAUGUGAAAACUAAGGGCUCAACCCAUAGAUUGCAUCUGAAACUGAUAUGCUUGAGUCAAGGAGAGGAAAGUGGAAUUCCUAGUGUAGCGGUGGAAUGCGUAGAUAUUAGGAGGAAUACCGGUGGCGAAGGCGACUUUCUGGACUUGAACUGACGCUGAGGCACGAAAGCGUGGGGAGCAAACAGGAUUAGAUACCCUGGUAGUCCACGCCGUACACGAUGAGUGCUAGGUGUCUGCUCAUACGAGUAGGUGCCGUACGUUAACACAUUAAGCACUCCGCCUGGGGAGUACGUACGCAAGUAUGAAACU
rnacentral:rRNA from 2 species